rnacentral:tRNA from 1 species
GCGAGAGUGGCGGAAUUGGUAGACGCACUGGACUUAGGAUCCAGCCCACGUGAGUGGAUGGGGGUUCAACUCCCCCCUCUCGCACCA